rnacentral:rRNA from 1 species
CCGGCGACCGGCGCACGGGUGAGUAACACGUAUGCAACCUGGCCGUGACAGAUGGAUAACCGGGAGAAAUCCCGCCUAAUACAACAUAAUGCCGGGAGGGGACAUCCCCUGCCGGCCAAAGGGGGCGACCCCGGUCACGGAUGGGCAUGCGGCGCAUUAGGUAGUUGGUGGGGCAACGGCCCACCAAGCCGACGAUGCGUAGGGGUUCUGAGAGGAAGGCCCCCCACACUGGGACUGAGACACGGCCCAGACUCCUACGGGAGGCAGCAG